rnacentral:lncRNA from 1 species
AUAUGUUCCAUAAGUGUGGUGAGCCGCUUCUGCCGUUUCUGCAGACUAUGGUCGCCAUUACAAGAUGAUGCUGGCUCCGCUGUGGUCUGUGACAAACAACUCCUUAUCUGGGAGAGUUGGCACAUGAUUUUUCACCACCCUGUGAGAAAGCUCCACGCGGCAGCUUUGCAUUGGGGCUUGGGAUGCUUUAUUAAGGCUGGGAGGGGCAUCAGAGAGAGAGAAGAAGAAAUAUCAAGGGCCUGAAUAAACUGCUGAAAGAAGAUUC